rnacentral:rRNA from 1 species
AUACGUAGGGUGCAAGCGUUAAUCGGAAUUACUGGGCGUAAAGCGUGCGCAGGCGGUUUUGUAAGACAGAGGUGAAAUCCCCGGGCUCAACCUGGGAACUGCCAUUGUGACUGCAAGGCUGGAGUGCGGCAGAGGGGGAUGGAAUUCCGCGUGUAGCAGUGAAAUGCGUAGAUAUGCGGAGGAACACCGAUGGCGAAGGCAAUCCCCUGGGCCUUCACUGACGCUCAUGCACGAAAGCGUGGGGAGCAAACAGGAUUAGAUACCCUGGUAGUCCACGCCCUAAACGAUGUCAACUGGUUGUUGGGGAUUUAUUUUCUCAGUAACGAAGCUAACGCGUGAAGUUGACCGCCUGGGGAGUACGGCCGCAAGGUUAAAACUCAAAUGAAUUGACGGGG